AACGAACGCUGGCGGCAGGCCUAACACAUGCAAGUCGAACGCACCGCAAGGUGAGUGGCGCACGGGUGAGUAACACGUGGGAAUGUAUCCUUUGGUUCGGAAUAACGUCUGGAAACGGACGCUAAUACCGGAUGAGCCCUUAGGGGGAAAGAUUUAUCGCCGAAGGAGCAGCCCGCGUCUGAUUAGGUAGUUGGUGGGGUAAAGGCCUACCAAGCCGACGAUCAGUAGCUGGUCUGAGAGGAUGAUCAGCCACACUGGGACUGAGAAACGGCCCAGACUCCUACGGGGGGCAGCAGGGGGGAAUAUUGGACAAUGGGCGCAAGCCUGAUCCAGCCAUGCCGCGUGAGUGAUGAAGGCCUUCGGGUUGUAAAGCUCUUUCGCACACGACGAUGAUGACGGUAGUGUGAGAAGAAGCCCCGGCUAACUUCGUGCCAGCCGCCGCCGUAACAC
rnacentral:rRNA from 1 species